GCGGAGCAGGGGGCGGGGAGGGAGCGCGCGGCGGAGAGAUCCCCGCCAGGACAGAGUGUGCCUGGGGAGGGAGAAGGGGCAGGCCGGGGAGCGGGGAGUGUCGCCAGCAGGAAGCCAUCCCUCGUAGUUCGAGCGCGGCCAGGAUCGGCCGGCCCUCCGUGACGUUACUCAUCUUCCAGGGAUCUCUAGUCUCCUCUCCUCCCCUCCCCUCCCUCUUACCCUCUUUCCUCUCUCCCUCUCCACCCCUCCUCCCUGUCCCCUCCCCCUCUCUCCCUCGAAUCCCUGUCUCUGCACAUCUCUCUCCAUCAGCUUUCUCCGGACCUUCGCCGCCAGCAGCAGCAGCAACAGCAGCAGCGGCACCUCGGCGGCCCAGGCAGCAGGCGAGGGGUAGCCAGCGGCUCCCCCCCCCCCCUCCCCGGGGCUCCCAUCCCCCCUCCUCCACCUCCUCCCGGCCCUGCCCUUCCCAGCUCUGCUUGAAGGGGAUCCCCCUUGUCUCUCUCUGCUCAGUCCCCCCCUGCAGCGCCCCAGGAUCCCAGCCCCCCUCCCUCCGCCAGCCCCCCUACAGAGCCGGAGGAACCGCGCGGCGGAGACAAGGAUGUGACUGCACCCGGCGGCGGAGGGUGCACUCGGCGGCGGCGGCGGUCGGAGUGAAGCUGCGGACGCCCGGGGCUCCCUCUCUCCUCUCUCGCCCUCUCUUCUCCCGCUUCCCCCGGUCCUCCCUCCGCGGCCCCCGGCCGUCCCACUGCCCCGGCCCCGCGCCCCCCGGCUCGCCGCCUCGGGGCUCCCCUCCCCUGCCCCGGACCGCCCCUCUCCGGCCGCCCGCCUGCUCCAGCGCUGACCCUGUCCGCCGGCGGGGAAGGAGGAGGAGGAGGCGGCACCGCCGAACCACCGGGCGAGAACAUGUCGGAAGUGCUGCCGUUUAACGAGGAAAAGCUGGGGCACUAUGGAGACGGGGGGGACGUGGGCCAGAUCUUCACGUGCCGCCUGCAGGAUACCAACAACUUCUUCGGGGCGGCUCAGAACAAGAGACCGCCCAAACUGGGCCAGAUCGGCAGGAGCAAGAGAGCUCUGACAAGGGCAGAGGCUUGAGGGCAGAAGAGGAAAGCUAAGGGAUAGCUGGAGGUAAGGGAGCCCAAGACCAUAGUGGACAUCUACUGGAGAGGGAGAAGCCCCCCUCUCCCCCCCCCCUUCCCUUUCCUCCUCCCCCUUCCCUUCUCUAGGAGAAAAGGCCUGCUUAUACUUUUCACUUUCUUUUCUGCCUUACAGUUGUUAUUGAAGAUGAUAGGAUUGAUGACGUGCUGAAAAAUAUGACAGACAAGGCACCUCCUGGUGUUUAAAGCCCCCAAAGACACUGAGUUAAGGGACAAAAAGAUGAUAAUAAACACAGCAACUUCACACAGUUUAUUGGCAAAAAAAAAAAAAAAAAAAAGCAAUUUGGAAAAAAAAAAAUCUUCAUUACUCUAGCCUGCAGUCCACAAUGCAGACACACCACCAACCUGUAUCUUGUGUCAGGCCUGGGGACGGAAGAGGUGUGAGCAUAGCAAGGACAGAAACAAAAACAAAGAGCAAAAAAAUUUUAAAAAAUUAUUCAACAGAUUAAUUGAUUUACACACACUCAUAAGGAAAUUGACAUCAGCUGCAGCUGUUUGUCUAAAUUAAUAUGCGUUUCCUUUUAUAUACAGCGAAUAUUGCGCAAUUCUAGACCUGGAUUUCCAGCCACUUUAAAUAAUGCAGCAGCAGGAGCAGCAGCAACCGCCUGCCCAGCAAAAUGCCUCUGGGUUCCUGGUGGGAGGGGGGGGGGGGCUGGCAUCCCCUUUGCUGAUCUGGCUGCCCUGAAAGUCAGCCCUUUGUUUACAUUAUUCCCAUCUGGCAAAAACGAUUCUGUGCACUUAGAUGUGAGAUGCUGUCCGUUUCAUUUUUACAGAAAUAUUCAUAUCUUUGAUGUGUGUAAAACAAAACAAACAAACAAAAAAAAACCAGAAAAAAAAACCCCAGAAUGACUUAUAUAUAAAUAUAUAGAUAGUUAUUCUAUUUCGUUUUCCCGCCACCUUGGAAGGUCUUCCUGGGUGGGAUGUGCGUGCGCUCCACUGAACAAAACCAACCCACUUUCCCUAAGGAUUGCCAUCUAGGAAGAGUUUUCUCCUGAUUUCAAUGUGCUGUGAAGCUUGUGUUCUCUGGACUGCUUGCAAGCAAUCCGGACUCGAGUUCACAUGGACGAAUUUGGUGGGGGGGGGGGGGGGAGGAGGAAGGGGGGAAAAAGCCUCCUCUCUGUUGUAUGAGCCCCCACCCCUGUUCUUUCCUCCUCCCGGUGUUGUGGCGAUUCAUCCUCUUCAAUGAAUGGAUUGUACAAAAUGUGAUCACGAGAGUGCCAAAUACCUGGAAAUGCCAAAAGGCAGUUUGGUUUGGUUCCCCCUUUUUGUGCUCCCUGAGCCCAUGUAAAGCAGUGCUUCGUUGGAGUCUCUCUUUUCUGGGUUAUUUAUCGGGCUUUCUCUUAAGGCAGAACCGCUCUCCUUUUUGCAUGAUGUUUGCAGAGAUGCCUCUUGUGCAGGGGCUGGGGGUGGGGGGGUCUUUUCACCAUUUUGUUUUCUUUCUUCUUUUGGGUUUGCAACUUUGGAUGACAAACCUCAAAGAGGUUUCUUUUGCCUUCCCUCCGGCUGCCCCCUUGCCCUUCCCUCUCUCCCUUUUCUUAAUUCAAUAUUGUGUAUAUGGUGCACUGUUAACCACUACACAGGGCUAUUUCUGCAAUGUACAAUAAAAGGGACUGUUCCUGUGUCUAACCUCUGUGUCUUAUUUCGGUGGUCUAUUGGAGCGGGA
ensembl:lncRNA